CUUGAAUGACUCCUUGAGGUCCUUGAGCUUCGAGUCCUUGCCCAGCUUCAGGCCCUCCUUGGACACGUUCUGGAACUUCUUGUCCUCGUAGUCCAUCAAGUAUUGCAUCAGGUACUCGUCCACUGGGUCGGUGAAGAAGAUAACCUCAUAGUUUUUCUUUAUUAGCCUCUCAAGGAACGGAGACUUCUCCAGCUGUUCUUUGCUACUUCCUAUGAUGUAGAAGAUAUCUUUCUGCCCAGGCUUCAUCCUUGAAAUGUACUCGUCAAGAGAGGCAAGUUU